UACGUAGGGGGCAAGCGUUGUCCGGAAUCAUUGGGCGUAAGGAGCGUGUAGGUGGCUUGGUAAGUCCGCUGUGAAAGUCCAGAGCUCAACCCUGGAAUGCCGGUGGAAACUGUCAAGCUAGAGUCCGGAAGAGGCGAGUGGAAUUCCUGGUGUAGCGGUGAAAUGCGCAGAUAUCAGGAGGAACACCAAUGGCGAAGGCAGCUCGCUGGGACGGUACUGACACUGAGACGCGAAAGCGUGGGGAG
rnacentral:rRNA from 1 species